rnacentral:rRNA from 1 species
UACGUAGGGGGCAAGCGUUGUCCGGAAUUAUUGGGCGUAAAGAGCGUGUAGGCGGUCCGGUAAGUCAGCUGUGAAAGUCAAGGGCUCAACCCUUGAAUGCCGGUUGAUACUGUCGGGCUAGAGUCCGGAAGAGGCGAGUGGAAUUCCCGGUGUAGUGGUGAAAUGCGUAGAGAUCCGGAGGAACACCAGUGGCGAAGGCGACACGCUGGGCCAUACCUGACGCUAAAGCGCGACAGCAUGGGGAGCAAACGGG